AUGCCGCUGCUCCUGCCGCGGGAGACGGUGGAGGACACGCGGUUGCUGGGCUACGACUUGCCGGCGGGCACCCGGGUCCUGAUCCGAGCUGGCGGACAUGAGCGAGCUGCACGGCCUCUCCGGCGGACAUGA
rnacentral:rRNA from 1 species